CUUCAUGACUGAAAUUCUGGCUUUGUGGUCUAAUCUGUUAGUGAUAUUUUCAACUGAAUUUUUAAUUUGAUUUGUUGAGUCAUUCAUUUUCAGGAGUUCUGUUUUGUUGUUUUUCAGAAUCCCUGUAUCUUUUAUUGAAAUGUUCUUUCACUUCCUGUAUUUUUUUCUCUUAGUUCAUCAGCUUCCUAAAUUCUUUUUCUGGCAUUUCUUCUUCAGUGGUAUUAGUGGGUAUUCUGGCAUUUCUUCUUCAGUGGUAUUAGUGGGUAUUCUGGCAUUUCUUCUACAGUGGUAUUAGUGGGUAUUCUGGCAUUUCUUCUACAGUGGUAUUAGUGGGUAUUCUGGCAUUUCUUCUAUGGUGGUAUUAGUGGGUAUUCUGGCAUUUCUUCUAUGGUGGUAUUAGUGGGUAUUCUGGCAUUUCUUCUAUGGUGGUAUUAGUGGGUAUUCUGGCAUUUCUUCUACAGUGGUAUUAGUGGGUAUUCUGGCAUUUCUUCUAUGGUGGUAUCAGUUGUGUUGUGAGCUAUUUGUGGGCGGGGGGGGGCCUGCUUCCUUGCUUUUUCAUAUUGUCAGUAUUUCUUCCAAUCUGCUGGGAUGAUUAUCUCUUCUACUUUUAUAUGUGAGUUUUUAGUGAGCUGAUUUCUCUUUAUUAUGUGUCCUAGGUUGGGUAAAUGUCUUGGUGACAAUAUUUUCACCCAGUUUGCUCUUAUGUUCAGUCUGGAACAACACACUGAGAGGAGACAUGAAUCCCCAAUAAUUACAGCCACUUCAGAACAGAGCCUUCUACUAAUAAAUCUUUAAAACAAAAACUUACUAAAAUGUUCUUCAGCAAUCUACUAAUCUGAGAGGUAAAUGGCAGCAAUUUUCUUGAAUUGGUUGAGAAACUGAAUAAUAAGAAAAAUAAAAUUGCUCUUGAGCUCUGUUUGGCUCUCUGAUCAGCUAUUCUCUCACUGCCUCAAUCUGGG
rnacentral:lncRNA from 1 species